UUAAAUAACUCUUUUAGAGAAAAAAUAUCAUAAAUGCACAGUUGUUGAGAAAACUUCUCUUUUUUAUUUAAAUAUUUUUACAUAAAAGAAUAAACCACGAAUGCGCAGAAUGUAUCUUACAAUAAUCUUAGAAAAUCGGUGAACCAGUCUUUUAUCUGAUUACCGGGUCAGAUGCAAGCGUCCAGUAGACUAGGGAUAUCGAGGUCAACACGCUGGCGGUUGGGGAAAGGUAUUUUCAUUUUCUUUUUACGUAGUGAACUGAAAAACUAUUGUUAUUUUAUAUUUAUCAUUUUAAAAGCAGGUUUCGUGUCUUUCGAUUUAAACAGUAGCACGUUUUUUUGCGGUAUUCCUACUUUCAUUUUGGACAACAUUUGAAGGCUUUUCCAAAUUGCGUCAUUAAAACCAGGAAUGAUAGCCGUCCAAUGAAAACGCUUCUUGCAUUUCAGAUAUAGGCGAGUGUGCGGUCAAGGUCAAAAUUGCGAGAGGGUGAUUCGAAGUGAAAUACCGCAACAAAAACGUUCGAUUUGUACAUUAACGCGUCUAACUGAAUGAGUCACAAUGUUUCUACCACAAGAGUUGUAAAUAUUGAAAAACUGAGAUAAAAACUGCAAAAAAUGGCCACCAACAAUAAUGGGCCAGGACUGAGGAGUUCCAAGAAAUGAGAGUGUGGCAACAAGUAAAUGGACCUUGACAAAUGUCCUCUAUGUUAGAGCCAGUCCCUUACACAAGUGACCUACUUUUGCACAGCUGAGGUUGUUAUCAAACGCAGCAGUAGGUAUGAAAUGCGGAAACUGUUCCAACUUGAUCUUCAACAGUUGAGUUACUCCUCAUCACAAUACCUGAACUGAAAACAAUCGGUGACGAUCCUGCACUUCACUUCUACCUCACAGUGCUCUUCCCUAUAAACGCUAGAGGAAAGUUUGAAAAUGAAAAACUUGUCAUUGCAAGAAAGGACCAAUUGAUUCUUAACAAAACAACCUGCCUCAAUGCUUUAGCUGACACUACAUCAAGUCAACACAAGGCAAUUUGUUUUUCUCCCAACCUGACCGGUAUGUUGAAUCUGAUCAAAAUUGUACACAACCACUGGUCAAGAAUAUAGAAAUACAAGUUGUAUGAUCAGUAACCUAAAAUAUUCUUGAAUAUUUGAACAUAAUUAAAGAGUAUAUGUUAAAGUUAUACAUAUUGUGUGUAGUGUAGGUAAGAUCAAUGCCAAGGUUAUUUUGGCUAAAAAAAGGAAAAUGAGUCUUGAUUCAUAACAUCGAUGAAAUAGAAAGCCUUUUCGAUAAAGUGAUACAUAUAUUUUGUGGUGAUGUCAUAACCUUGUUUCACUGUUUUUGAAGAGAAAACACAUGUUAUAAAUAUAUUAUCACAUUUGUGUUUUUUUAGCUCGACUAUUUUAAGAAUAAGGUGGGCUAUACUAUUCGCUCUGGUGUCAGUGUCCGGUUCAAGUUUUAGGGCAAGUUUUAGGGCAAGUUGGGAUUUUCACUUAUAAGUCCAAUACCCUUCAUUCAAUUGACUUAAUACCUCUUAUAAGUCCA